UGCUUGUGCAGAGAGGACCCUAGCAUGGAAGAGCUUCAUAAACAAGACCUCGCUGCCCUUGGACUUCUACUUCUGUUGAUGUUACUGGCCACACACUCCCAGCCUGGAUGGCUAUACUCAAAGCCUGCCAAGGAUGGGCAGCUUUAGAAGGGAAGCUGAGAUAAGUUUUCUGUCUUUACUGAAAUGUGAAGACGUCCAGCCCAGAUAAGAUUUGCCUCUGUGUGGUCUAAUUGGUAUAGCCCCAGAACCUCAUGAGCAAGUAAUCUAAAUCUCGUUCAUUUAAACAAUGUGAAUAUAUAUCAUCUCAAUGACCAGUGAGUGUCAACUUCCUCCAUCCUUAUUCUGGUUCACUAUAUAAGAAACUUGCAUUUGGGAAAUGUGGAACAGAGUAACUGUUUCUGUGGUCCACCUCUGGCUUCUCCCAGAUGAUCUAUCCAAUUAGAGUAUUUCACUCGACUGUAAAUUUUCAGCAAAUAAAGAUUUAAAAUUUAAACUUAAGUAUCUAACUGGACUCAGAUAUGCCAAGGGUAGGCAAUCUGCUUUUAGUUACUUGAUUUAAAAGAUUGUUUUGAAAUGUAUUUUAUUUUUAAACUAAUAUUUAUGGAUAGUUCAAGGAUUUUCACUUCUUUCACAACAUUACAAGAGUAUCAUUGGCUACACGCCUUCUUAGUCACUUAAGCAUGACUGGAGCCUUUUACAGAGCAUGAAGGAAAACUGAGACCUUCCUCAGCUCUCCAUAGUCUUAUUAAUAUUUGCAAAAAUGCAUGUGGAGAAGUUGCUUGAUAAGCAAAGGAAGAAGCAGACCACUGGGUGCCAAGACAAUAGAGUUGCCUUCCUGCCAGCACGAGUUCUCAGGAAGGUGGAUUUGGGUGUGCUCAUCAAUUGGAGAGCUAUUUCUUUUGAUUCUCUACCCCAUUCUCUCUGUAGGAAUCCAGGGUUCACAACGUGACCAUCCUGGCACCCGCUUCUCCUUUGCCUAAGGUGCCUCACCCAGCUCUGCGUGCACAACGCGCCCUCAGCUUCACCUAAGUCUUGAAAGACUUUUCGGGUUAUGACAUUCCCCUAAAUGUGCUGAGCUUUCCUUAACCUUUCAUAAAACAUUGUGAUCUUUAUGGACUGUAUCAUAUUGUGCAGUAAUGUGCUUUAUUGUGCACAGAAUAAGCUUUUCUUAAAGAUAAUUGGAAAGCUGGAAAUGGCUGCUAUCGGCCGAUUUUUUAAAAAAAUACAUUAUUUCUGAAAUAGGGCUGGUGUAAUAAUGACCCUAUCUGUUCAAGAUUUAAGAUUUGUCUUGGCAGAGAAAAUUGAUCCAUUUCACCUUUGUCUAAUGGAAAUUUUUAUCUAGGAUUAUCUGUUUAUGUAAAUGAAUGUCCCUGUGAAGAGGGAACUUGAGGAGGCUGUAAAUCUUGGUGACACCUCAGUUUCAUAGGGGAGAAAUUGGAAAGGAUUCUAGUAUUUAUCUGCCCGAAAUUGGUUAUAAAAACAAAAUUAUCUUCGUGUA
rnacentral:lncRNA from 1 species